GAGGCCCAGAACUUGCAAAAAGCCCAACUGCAAAGCCCGGCUAGUCCUCGGUGAGACCUUCCGCCGGCGGCCACCGGCCCUGGCGGAGAGCCGGAGAGCCCCCCGGCGGUUGCUAAUCUCCGGCGCCGUUGGAGACAGCGGCUAUAUAGCUUAGUCGGCUGUCUUCUCGGAGAGGAUCCGUCCCCCAAAACCCACCUGCCGCUAUUACUGGAGUGCUGGUCAGUCUUGCGGAUGCCGGAAGAAAUUGAUCCGAGCCUAGGGAUUAGAUCGAGGCAUGACAGUGUCACCUUUGCUUGACCCAGCCGCACAAGCUUCUAGCUUCGCCUGCUGCUGGAAGUUGUUCAGGGAUUCCUCUUCCGACGUGUGUGACAUUGCUUGGAAGUCCAGAUACUGGUUGCAGAGGGUGCCAGCAAGGUGAAGGGGAUGGUGAUUUAUGCACAACGGAAUGAAGGGGCUGCAAUUAGACAAUAGGAAAAUGGUUGAUUAAACUUUCAGUCAGCAUCAAGGACUGCAAUGCUGCCGCUAUUAUUUAACUGAUACAAUGCGAAUCUGAUUGCCUCAUCAGCACGAAUGUUCCGUUCCGUUUAUUGUUUCUAAAGAAUUUGUCAGUAUCCUGAAGUUUGCUAAGCAAAGUUCCAUGGGAGAAGAUAACUAGUCCUGAGCAACGUGCUACUGUAUGCUCAUCUCGUUGCACUCCUGUUACUGUUUUUGCCUGGUGAGCUACAGAGAAAGACCAUCCGGAGGACCAGAAAGAUUCAUGAUACUGUGAGCUGCAGGUGGUAAUUUUUGCCGCUGAUCUUUUUACAUCGUCGAAAUCUGUAUGCCUUGCAGUCAUCGACAAGAGAGGCUCUAGUGUAUGUCAUGUUUCACCCUGGGGAUUAAAGUAGCUUGUCACCGUCAAGACGGAUGGUUUGGGUGGUAAAUUGAUAACGUUGUUUUCUCGAGAUGAUGUCGCAAUCAGACGGAGGAAUAAAAUCGAGGCGAUCUGUGUGAAGAGCAGGCAGGAGACGGCUCGUCGGUACAAGGGAGGAUGCCAACUGUGAGAUCCGGGAGAAGAGACAAAGUUGGCCGCAGUUUUUAUAUCCGGCUUGCCGUGGUAUCAACCUCCUCUCUUUGGUGCAACUGUGAGAUCCGCCUUUGUUUUAGUAUUUGGAGUUUCCUGAAGGUUUGAAGAGUUCUACGUCAUGUCUUCCAAUGCAGAAGCUGUGUUACCAGAAGAGGCUGAAGUGUAUGUCAAAUGAUCGUUCCCCGAUUUGGCGCCAUCUAGUGAUCACGGUGAAUAGCAAGGUUCAAGUUCUACCGUGACUUUAAAUCUGUCGGUUAUUUGAUGAUAUUGUUAGGAUUUGAUCUUAUAGCAUCUACAGCUUUUCGAUUU